rnacentral:rRNA from 1 species
CCUACAGAGGGCAGCAGUGGGGAAUAUUGGGCAAUGGAGGAAACUCUGACCCAGCAACGCCGCGUGAAUGAUGAAGGUCUUCGGAUUGUAAAGUUCUUUUCUAAGGGAAGAUGAACGUGAUGGUACCUUAGUAAUAAGCCUCUGCUAACUCCGUGCCAGCAGCCGCGGUAAUACGUAGGCGGCAAGCGCUAUCCGGAAUUACUGGGCGUAAAGGGUGCGUAGGUGGUUUGAUAAGUUAGUAGCGUAACUCCGAGGCUCAACCUCGGAACUACUACCCAAACUGUCGGACGUGAGUGCAGGAGGGGCAGGUGGAAUUCCUGGUGUAGCGGUGGAAUGCGUAGAUAUUAGGAGGAAGACCAGUGGCGAAGGCGAGUUGCUGGACUGUAACUGACGCUGAGGCACGAAAGCGUGGGGAGCAAACAGGAUUAGAUACCCCAGUAGUC